UACGUAGGGGGCAAGCGUUGUCCGGAUUUAUUGGCGUAAAGCGCUCGCAGGCGGUCCGAUUCGUCGUGCGUGAAAGACCCCGGCUCAACUGGGGAGGGUCGUGCGAUACGGUCGGACUCGAGGCCAGUAGGGGGACGCGGAAUUCCGGGUGUAGUGGUGGAAUGCGUAGAGAUCCGGAGGAACACCAGCGGCGAAGGCGGCGUCCUGGACUGGUACUGACGCUGAGGCGCGAAAGCUAGGGGAGCAAACGGG
rnacentral:rRNA from 1 species